GUGCGGACACGACUAGCGUUUAGUGGGAGGCGAAAACCACUCACGUCCGCACUCGUCGCUAUCCGCUCGCGUCCCCAUCCCCAUCCCCCUCGCAUUUGUCGCCACCCCCGCCCCAACAUGCGCCGGCCGCCGCCGCCGCCGACCCACCUCGCAUCGACCGAUGCGGCCGACGGCGGCCGCGGCAGCUUGGCUGCCACGCCUCCACGCCGCCGUCUCCCCGUCCGCCACCUCGCAUUCUCCUGUGAAUUGAGCCAUCGGUCCUCUGCCACGACGCUCUCCCUCGCCUCGUUAAUUACUCACGGAAGGUGUCUUCCCUAUCCACGUUGCUUCAGCAAGCACUCACUCUAUGUUCGAGGAAUUGAAGAAAUUUCAAGGAGAAUGAAGCCUAUGCGUGUGGGUGGUCGCUGUUAUUCAUGAAGCUGUGCGUGUGCGCUACUGCUUCCAGCCCCAUCCUCUGUGGAGGCUUGCUGCCACCAGUGAAAAUGGUUGUAGAAGGGAGAUAAUUGUGGCCAUGGAGGAGAGGUAAGUUUCACGUUUUUUUCUUCGUGAUAUGCAUGUUUAGGUGUUCAUUAUAGUUUUCAAAAAGGCGUUUUGGGGAUAGAUUUGGUGUGGCCAGGUGUUGCGCGGGAGAACCACCACAUCGGAGUCGAGCAACCGCCAUCUUCAAUCCCCAUCUCCGGCGAACUUUCCCGCUCAACCCCUGCCUCUAAUCAGCUACUCUCCUCCAUCCCCGUCCCGGUCAUGGAGCCGGAGCAGCAAUAUGCUAGCUGCACGUCGACUACCGGAUAGUUGUUCAUCGACUGCUAGACAGUUGGCGGGAUAGAAACAGUUGCAUAUCUCACAGCUAGUGGUAGUUAGAGCGGUGAAAAACCCACAUCCGACUACUAGGCGGUGGUUGAGGUCUGACUGACAGAUCCACAACUUUUUUCCUUUAUUUUUUCUACACAAAGAAA